AGUCACUGACAUUAGAUACCCGCGUAGUCCCAGCCGUAAACUAUGCGCGUUAGGUGUAUCGGUGACCACGAGUUACCGAGGUGCCGAAGGGAAACCGUGAAACGUGCCGCCUGGGAAGUACGGUCGCAAGGCUGAAACUUAAAGGAAUUGGCGGGGGAGCACCACAACAGGUGGAGCCUGCGGUUUAAUUGGACUCAACGCCGGACAACUCACCGGGGACGACAGCAAUAUGUAGGCCAGGCUGAAGACCUUGCCUGAAUCGCUG
rnacentral:rRNA from 1 species